AGGGGUAUAGCUCAGCUGGUAGAGCAGCGGUCUCCAAAACCGCGUGUCACGAGUUCGAUCCUUGUUGCCCCUGCCA
rnacentral:tRNA from 2 species